AAACUCACCGCAUGAAUUUUCUUGUCCCGCGGAUCCAAGAUGGCGACGUAUCCACCGCGGAGGCUGCUGGGAGCAAGACCUUUACCCUCUGACCCCCGUCGUGACCCCCGUCGCUCUAGCUUCCCUUAAGGCGGCAGCGGAAGGUGGGAGCGGCGAUUGCUCAUCGGACACAGGAUUGAGGGAAAGUUUGCAGGACAAUUGUCGUGAGUGUCUAGAGCACUCUGAACUCCGGGCAAGUGAAUCCUCGAGUUAUGACCAGCCUGACAUAAGAACAACUGGGGUUACAACCAGAAUUUUAGGUUUACUUAUGAAGUCUUGAAUUACAACCAGAUUGCUGGCCACUUCUGCAGUUGUAAAUACAGACUUUCAAAGCCAGAAAAAUGAAUAUAAGUCUGUUUGUGGAGACUUCGAAGCAUUAACAUGAUUGGUGACAUCACUAGCCAUUGAUUAAAGUAAUCUCCAAAGAUUCAGGAGGGAGAGGUCUGAAAAAUCCAACCCUGUAGUCACAUGAUUAGGAUCCCCCUGGCAACCAGCUUCUAACCUGAAUCUAUAGAAGCCCACCAGGAGUGACCUCAUCAGGACAAAAGAUUUUUCUGCAUAGUAUUCCCAGGAGCUGACUCUUAUAAUCAUUGUUUCAUGCACCCUCUUGACACUGACAGUGGCUUCUUGCUGAAUCCAGGAAAUGGAAAGAAAAGAAGAAUUGACAAUAGAAUGAAAAGGAGAGGGAAGUAAAUUGAUUAUGUGAUUGGGUGAAUUUGAAGAGAAGAAACUGAGUACUCUCAGCUCUGCACAUCUGGGAUCCCUCACUAUUUUAUUCAAUCUCUCCAUAACAGUUCUGUCAAGAAAUUUUAGUGGCUGUGAGAGAUGUGGAAGUAGAAUUGCAUUUCACCUUCCCUGGCACAUUGGAGGACGAACUUUGCUGCACCGAUUUGACCUCUCUCUGCCUCUCUCCGGGACCUGGUACCAGAAGCCAGGAUUCUAAUUAAAAGGAAAAGCCAAUCCCAACAUGGGUGUGUAAGCUGCACAAGGAAGCAGACGAGGACUUAGUGGACACUGAAGAUGCUUGUCUUGUGCAAACAACAGUGUCUCUCAGAAUCCUAAGGAAAUUAAUGGGAAGAACACACCUCGGCUUGUUACACACCAGAUGCCUCACCUGAAAUCUGAAGACCAGGGAGAGGCUGCUCUAAACAAUUCUUAGAGCCAGAGAAUUCUCUGAAGACAAAGGUUUUUAAGUCCAGUUGAAACAGAGAACUGUACAAUGCAGAGGGAAGAACAGCUGCUAUCCAGUUCUCUAGCCCUCACCCGCAGCCGCUACCCCGUCCCCCAGCUCAGAGAAACUAAUUUCUUACUGUCCUCAGGGACAGAGAUGCCAAAAGCACUCACUUCAGCCAGCAGGUGCCCAGACCAGCAUGGUUAACAUUGUGUGGGAGUUUGUUGGAAAGCCCAUUUUCAGGCCCUACCCACAUCUGCUGCAACAGACUCUGCACUUCAACAUGAUUUCCAGAUUGCCAAGAACGUUAAACGUGACUAAAUCUAAAGGACUGAGCUGUUCCCAGAUGUUUCCACGUAAUCCUCUUCCCAAACUUCUCGAUGAACUCACCAGGCAUGGGGCAAGAACACCAGCCACAGGAGUGGGUUAUUUCUGGAGAGUUUCCUCUGCUCAUGAAGGGACCUUCUGAGAGAAUCUUGACCUUAUAAAAUCUUGUGCUUUUUUUGAGCUAGAAGAACCAAUAAAAUGCAAACCCACAUGUAUACAAUACUACUCCAGCCUUGGGAAAGAUUGUUAAAUCCGAGACUAAAUGUAGGUGCAUGCCAAAGUGGAGUUGAAGUGGAUUUUAAUCUUUCCUGCUCACAGUGCCUGAGGGCAACAGCUAAAGGCAGCAACUCAAAAUGGGAGACUUCUUACCAUAAAUCUGUCCUUCAUUAAAUCCUUGGUAUACAUAAGACACCCAUGAUAGGUGCUCCACCAAAACCUGUUGUGAACUGAGCUGAACUGAACUGAGUUGAAUUGAAUUGAAUUGAAUUGAAUUGAAUUGAAUUGAAUUGAACACUUGAUCAGCUUCCUAAACUGCCAUUAAGGUUUUUAGUAUAACUGUAAACUGGGCCAGAUUCUGGAUAUAUAGGGUAUAGGAACUCCUUGACUUUUGGCUGGCUUAACUGUGUUUUACAAGCACAUGCCAUAAAUCAAACUCACAACCUCGAACUUGCCAGAGAGAAGAGAUGGUAUUGGCUUCACCUGAUUCACAGACAGGGAGAGCCAGAAGAUGAUCGUUUCCUUGAAGAAAAAAUUAAGCUUCUGCUACAACAAGAAGGAGGAAGUCAUACUGCCAGAAAUUUUAAGAGAUUCUCCCAGCCUUUCUCAUCAUGAGCACUUGAAACUUAAUAAGAAGCAAACUUCCUUUGGAAAUGAGAGCCUUUUUCAUUGUAAAAUGGGCAGAGUGACCAAAGACUUAGAGCCUUCGCUCACUGCUCAGAUUUCAUCAUCAGGCCUCCACCAUCAAGAGAGACAACAGAAUCUGUGAUUCAGUCACUGUCCCGGGGCUCGGCUCCCCACCCACUGUCUCCUUGCCAGUUCACUGAGUCACCCAUGCUCCACCCAGUGCGUUCUGCUUUUCCCACAGUUUCCCGGACUCUCCUGGGACAGAUGGCUGCUCUCAGAGCUGAGGAAAAGAGGUGACGUCUUUUAGAAACAAAAGCACCUCUCCAGCCCCGCCCUGUGCACAGCUAGCAGAAGAACUGGCUAAGGAGGUGGGGUGGGGAUUACUCACUUUGCAGUUUCUGCCGCACUGAGGACCAGAUUCUUGGGAGUCUUUUGUUUCUGCUUUUUUUCAAAUGUGCUGGGGAUGUACCUAGGGCCUCAUGCAUGUGAGACAAGUAUUCUACCUCUUAGCUACAUCACUAGCCCAAACAUCACAUUCUUUGUUAUAAAGGAUGGAUUCACUCAUAAUUAUAAAAGAUGGACUCACUUGUACCUUUUGCCAUUUCUCUGUUUAAAACAAACAAACAAAAAUAAAUAAAUUCCUGUAUUAUCCUUUUAGUUCACUGGAUACCAGAUAGCUCAGGGUCUCCUCCUACUCAAAGCUUCCCUUUUUCUGCUUCCCAUUCUCUUUCUUAUUCGUCUGAGAGGCAGCAUUUAUCACCUGCACUCUCCUAGCACAAUGUCAGAGACAUAGUUACAGAGCUUUUCUUAUGAUGUGAUGGCUACCUAGGUGGCUACCUAUCCGCAGUGACUCUUUAAAAAGUCAGCCAUUGCCCAAUGUGUCUCUUAUUAUAUCAGGGUACUGUAUACAGAGGCAGGCACACAGAAAUUCCCACAAAGGUUUAUGCAGUGAGUGAAAGAUUACAUGACUGAAAAUGGACAAACAGCUGUAGACUUCAAGGUGAACAGACUGUUGUAGCUUGGCAUAACUAACGCCAUCUUGUGCCCUGUGUUUGACUUGUGCCCUGUAUUUGACCCAGAAGAGUGAAAAAUUACUCAGGGUACAAGUCCCAUGAGAAAAGCAAAAUGAGCUGCACCCACAAGAGAAAAAAUUAACCUGCUCAACAAAGGAGCAGGAUACAGAUGUCAGCCAAAAUUAAUGUAAGAUUCUAGCUAAAUUGUUUCCAACAGGAUGUCUUGCUUUGUGGUUAUUUGCUUUAAAUGCCCCGUAACCCUCCAGUUCAGGACCACUCGGUUUGACUCUGGAACAUGGGUUUAUGCACAUGGUCGCUGAGCUCAGCUAAUAAAAUUCCAAAAUUUAUCAGUUUGGCUGCUUGGAUUCCUAUAUUGUUUAUGAACCCACUUCACAGAUGAGAGUUCAACAAUAUCGGGAUAGUCUUUGGUAUUUUUGCUUUCAUUUUUUAUGCUUUUAUCUCCAGGAAAUGACUCAGAGUCCUUUUCUUUUUAAUAUAAUCACCAGCAGGUUCCUUAUUGUAGAUAAUUCCAGAUACUGCUUUGAAAACCGACAGCAACCACACUUAACAGGAAAUGUUUUUCAGUAACUAUAGAAGAUGACAGUUCUGAGAUAUUACAUCAAUGAAAAGGCUACAGCAGCCUAAUUACUGACAUAAUGUGUUCAAUGUUUGGAUACAAUAGGAAACAUUCAUUAAAUGCUUUGUGAUUAAUCUGCAAUCAAUUUAGAUGCUUAUGCUCUUGUGCUAUACAGAAUUAAAUGCAGCAAUAUAAAUAUAAAUAAUGAAUAAUAAGCUGUAGGAUUUUGGAAUCCUCUAACAGACAAUGGGCCAUUCAGGUUUUUGUAGUUUCUAUUGAAAGUCAUUUAGAGGUGUUUUAAAUAUAUUUGAAGAAAGAAAUAAUAACAUAAUAAUAAUCCUAUCAUUCCAAAGAGUAGUAAUAAAAAUAAUCAUAGUAAAAGAGGGAGAGGAAUUCAAAUCUGUCUUAGUAUACCUUCUUGCUUUACUCCCUGGUAAAUAAAGAAGACAAUGUUUCCA